rnacentral:rRNA from 1 species
AGAAUCAACGCUGGCGGCGUGCCUAACACAUGCAAGUCGAACGCGAGAGUCCCGCAAGGGACAAUUGAGUGGCAAACGGGUGAGUAACACGUGGGUGACCUGCCUUCGAGUGGGGGAUAACGUCCCGAAAGGGACGCUAAUACCGCAUGACAUCCUGCCUUUGGACAGGCGGAGAUCAAAGCCGGGGAUCGCAAGACCUGGCGCUUGGAGAGGGGCCCGCGUCUGAUUAGCUAGUUGGUGAGGUAACGGCUCGACCAAGGCGACGAUCAGUA